rnacentral:rRNA from 1 species
GACAGAGGGUGCAACCGUUGUUCGGAAUUACUGGGCGUAAAGCGAGUGUAGGCGGUCUGAUAAGUCGGGUGUGAAAGCCCCGGGCUCAACCCGGGAAGUGCACUCGAAACUGACAGGCUAGAGUAUCGGAGAGGUUGGUGGAAUUCUCGGUGUAGAGGUGAAAUUCGUAGAUAUCGAGAGGAACACCGGUGGCGAAGGCGGCCAACUGGACGAAUACUGACGCUGAGACUCGAAAGCGUGGGGAGCAAACAGG